rfam:Salmo salar isolate Sally breed double haploid chromosome ssa06, whole genome shotgun sequence.
AACAAGCAUGACUGUCAGUCACUUUGGAUAAAAGCGUCUACUAAAUGGCACAUA